GUCUCCUUCGUCGCAAGAACUCAGUAACCGAACAAUCAAUCAUCUUUAAUCCCCCCCCCCAUUAAUCUAUCACCCACUAUCUCGAUUCAAUGCGAUAUUUUUGAUGUGCAAGGCGUAUGCGUCAACUAUAAAAAGGUAUGCUUGGUUCUUCUCAGAGACUACAUCUCAAAGAUCCGUCACGAGUUUGAUCUGGCGAAACAGAGGUUCCUCAAUACCUCUAAAGCUCUAAUUAUAUGCCUAAGAUGCAAUCCUCAAGAUUAGAUAGAAUACUCAAGGUCAACUUCAAGUUAUUGAUCAGUUUCUGUGUUGCUUAAUUUGAAUGGAUACAUUAGAUGGCGUCAAAACAGUUGAGGUAAGGUGUUUUGAAGCGGAGUAUGAUAGGUAAUGUGAAGUGAAAAGUUACUGAGCAUGAUUUCAAACGUUUGUGAAUGUUGUUGUGUUCACAAGUGUUGUUUGCAUUCCUCAGACUUCAACAGAGAGGCUCUCUGGUUAUUAUAAAUCAUCUCAUGUUUGAAGUUAUGGUAUGCAAAUGUUCAAGAAGUGGUGUGAUGUUCAUGAUCAAGAGAAGAAGAACAAUGGUGUUUUCGCAAUCCAUCUUAGUAAAUCAGUUUCUCAGCCUUGUGCAGCUUUGUCUCACAUACUCUCUGGCUUGAGUUACACGGCUGUGCAAAGCCUUCUGGGUCUUUCUCACACCAUUGGGUCCAUUCGGUUCUACUCUCUUCCUUUAUGCUUCCAUAUAAACCAAAGCCUCGCAAAUUAUUCCUAUGAUUUGAUAUAUGAUCUUUCCAAGCAGACACUGUUAAUGAGCAAGAUCGAGAGCUACUGAGAGAGGAGGCGAUCAGGAAGAUGACAUCCACCGCCAUAAUUAUUGCCAGAUCUUUAAUAUGGCGCACCAUACUGUUGUUUUGAUAUCAAACAAGGUAGUGGUUGCUUACGCAGACUAAUACCAAUGUCGGUACGCAACAAGAGGUUGUUCUUACUACUAUCUUGCCGGUAAAUCCUGGAAGCUGAAAUUCUGUGAACUGGUUGUUGUUGUUAUUCGUCCUCUAAUCUAGACGAUGUUGUGUAUUGAUGCACAAGCGUUGGAGUGCCCACUCACGGAGAGCUCAAAACACUAGAGAAGAGAAUGGAAUCUUCCCAGCUCAGAACUAGGAACCUCACAACCAGUGACUUAGUAAGAGAUUACUUGCGUUACUUGAUGGGUGAAAGAUCAAGUAUUGGAGAAGAGAUUCUCUGCCAGUUCAGCUUCCCUGAGAGACAUGGUGCUCUGAUAAACUUCUUGGACUCUUUCAGUCCACGUUGGAACAUUAGCCUUUUCCAUUACCGUGCAGAGGGUGGGGCAGGCGCGAACGUGCUGGUUGGGAUCCAAGUGCCCGAGCAAAACAUGGCGUAUUUCAGAAACCGAGCUCAAGUUCUUGGAUACGAGUACGUCUUGGUAAUUGAAGACACUGUUUUCAAGCUUCUUAUGCACUGAGUUUAAAGCUGUGAUGGAGAGACCAAAACCAAGAAGGAAGUAGAAGAAACAUGAGAGGUCUUCUUUGUGUCCAUUGUUAGUCUUGAGCUCUCUGUUAGAAACAUCUGUGAGUCUUGGGUCUUUUGGACGGGCUUUUAUGUCACGGGCCUAUUACGCUAGCCCAAUAUGUAACAUUUAUUGCAUGUGAGCUCUCAUCGUUAUGAACUUAUGAUGUAGACUUUAUAUACCUUUCAGCAA